UCCGAGUUGACCCCGGCAGUCUCACAUGAGUUCCCACCAUUACGUGCUGGCAACAUGCGACGAGGGUUGCGCUCGUUGCGGGACUUAACCCAACAUCUCACGACACGAGCUGACGACAACCAUGCACCACCUGUAACCGAGUGUCCAAAGAGUUCCGCAUCUCUGCGGCGUUCUCGGUUAUGUCAAGCCUUGGUAAGGUUCUUCGCGUUGCAUCGAAUUAAUCCGCAUGCUCCGCCGCUUGUGCGGGCCCCCGUCAAUUCCUUUGAGUUUUAGCCUUGCGGCCGUAGUCCCCAGGCGGUCGACUUAAUGCGUUAGCUGCGGCGCCGAGGGGGUCGAUACCCCCGACACCUAGCGCCCAUCGUUUACGGCGUGGACUAC
rnacentral:misc_RNA from 1 species